rnacentral:rRNA from 1 species
GCCUACCNAGGCGGCGACGGGUAUCCGGCCUGAGAGGGUGUACGGACACAUUGGGACUGAGAUACGGCCCAGACUCCUACGGGAGGCAGCAGUGGGGAAUAUUGCACAAUGGGCGCAAGCCUGAUGCAGCGACGCCGCGUGGGGGAUGAAGGCCUUCGGGUUGUAAACUCCUUUCGCUAUCGACGAAGCCUUCGGGUGACGGUAGGUAGAUAAGAAGCACCGGCUAACUACGUGCCAGCAGCCGCGGUAAUACAA